rnacentral:rRNA from 1 species
UACGUAGGGUGCGAGCGUUAAUCGGAAUUACUGGGCGUAAAGCGUGCGCAGGCGGUUUUGUAAGCCAGAUGUGAAAUCCCCGGGCUUAACCUGGGAAUGGCAUUUGGGACUGCAAGGCUCGAGUGCGGCAGAGGAGACUGGAAUUCCUGGUGUAGCAGUGAAAUGCGUAGAUAUCAGGAGGAACACCAGUGGCGAAGGCGGUGCUCUGGGCCGGAACUGACGCUGAGAAGCGAAAGCGUGGGGAGCAAACAGG